rnacentral:tRNA from 1 species
ACUUUUAAAGGAUAACAGCUGUCCAUUGGUCUUAAGAACCAAAAAUAUUGGUGCAACUCCAAAUAAAAGUAAUAACCAUG